rnacentral:rRNA from 1 species
AGUGAGCGCUGGCGGUAGGCCUAACACAUGCAAGUCGAACGGCAGCACAGGAGAGCUUGCUCUCUGGGUGGCGAGUGGCGGACGGGUGAGGAAUACAUCGGAAUCUACUCUGUCGUGGGGGAUAACGUAGGGAAACUUACGCUAAUACCGCAUACGACCUACGGGUGAAAGCAGGGGAUCUUCGGACCUUGCGCGAUUGAAUGAGCCGAUGUCGGAUUAGCUAGUUGGCGGGGUAAAGGCCCACCAAGGCGACGAUCCGGAGCUGGUCUGAGAGGAUGAUCAGCCACACUGGAACCGAGACACGGUCCAGACUCCUACGGGAGGCAGCAGUGGGGAAUAUUGGACAAUGGGCGCAAGCCUGAUCCAGCCAUACCGCGUGGGUGAAGAAGGCCUUCGGGUUGUAAAGCCCUUUUGUUGGGAAAGAAAUCCAGCUGGCUAAUACCCGGUUGGGAUGACGGUACCCAAAGAAUAAGCACCGGCUGACUUCGUGCCAGCAGCCGCGGUAA